UUCUUUCUGUUGGCCACAGGAUAUUAGGGGAACACCAAGACCAGGGAAUUUCAAGAGCAGCGUUUAACCUGCUGUGAUACCUCUGGAAUGAGGGCUAAGAAAAUAGUGGGGCCAGAAACAAAGGGUCUUCCUUGGUGGCUUUUGAAUACCAAUGAAUGAAGCUCUCACUGUGACCUGCUGCUCUAGGGCACAGUCUGACUUGGCAGUGAAGCCCUCUGGAAUUGUGUUCUGGGUU